rnacentral:tRNA from 2 species
GGGCGAGUGGCGAAACGGUAAACGCAGCGGCCUUAAAAGCCGUACCCGGAAACGGGUUGUGGGUUCGAGUCCCACCUCGCUCA